CCCCAAUGGUGCAUGUCUUUAGCUUCAUCCCUAGAAAGGAAUAUAAGACAGAGAGAGACAGCUCUCAAACAGUCUCAAUCUGAGAUUCCAGGAGGCAGAAUCGGCAUUUCACACUUAGGUCAAGGGGUGAGGUAAUAGAAAGAGGACCAUUUUAUAAAUUUGGAAAUGUUAUUCAGUUUUAUCAAUUCAUGAACUGCAGAAUUAUUAAUAUAGAACAAUAUGGUAGAUCGUCUUACCAACCUGCACUUUGAGGAAUCACCUGGAAACAGUCUCCAUGGUUCCUAUAGUUAUGUCAUUGCCCCCAGACAACAGGAAACUCAGAGAAAAAGGUGCUCACAUUCCCAAGAGGUGCACAUUGCUGCAUUUGAGGACCCAAAUUAAUGCGUUCAUGCUUUCACAGCAGGUUCUUUACUCAUUGAACCAUCUCUCCAGCAUCUCUUCAGAUAUGACUUCAUGUAUGGCAAUAUUUAAAAUUAAUUUAGACCUUUGUUAAAAAUAUUAUGUGAAAAUACACUUUUAGCACAAAUAAUGUGAACCAGGCAAAAUGUCUAUUUAAAAACAAGGUUUGUGAAGAUACAUUUUUAGCAUAAGUAAAGUAAACCAAGGCAAAAUGUUUAAGCUUUAAGUCUUUGUUUCUAUGUAUGAUAUGUAAUUGAAUUUGUGUGUGUGUAUGUGUG